rnacentral:rRNA from 1 species
AGAGUUUGAUCCUGGCUCAGAUUGAACGCUGGCGGCAUGCUUUACACAUGCAAGUCGAGCGGCAGCGCGGGGCAACCUGGCGGCGAGCGGCGAACGGGUGAGUAAAAGAUAGGAACGUGUCCGAGAGUGGGGGAUAACUAGCCGAAAGGUUAGCUAAUACCGCAUAUUCUCUGUGGAGGAAAGCGGGGGACCAGUAAUGGCCUCGCGCUCACGGAGUGGCCUAUCUCCGAUUAGCUAGUUGGUGAGGUAAAGGCUUACCAAGGCGACGAUCGGUAGCUGGUCUGAGAGGAUGAUCAGCCACACUGGGACUGAGACACGGCCCAGACUCCUACGGGAGGCAGCAGUGGGGAAUUUUGGACAAUGGGGGCAACCCUGAUCCAGCCAUGCCGCGUGCGGGAAGAAGGCCUUCGGGUUGUAAACCGCUUUUAUUCGGAAAGAAGGAGUUCGGGUUAAUACCCUGGAUGACAGACGGUACCGGAUGAAUAAGCACCGGCUAACUACGUGCCAGCAGCCGCGGUA